AUUGAACGCUGGCGGCAGGCUUAACACAUGCAAGUCGAACGGUGAACGAGGGAGCUUGCUCCCUCCGGAUCAGUGGCGAACGGGUGAGUAACACGUGAGCAAUCUGCCCUGGACUCUGGGAUAAGCGUUGGAAACGACGUCUAAUACCGGAUACGAGGCGCGGGGGCAUCCCCAACGCCUGGAAAGAACUUCGGUCCAGGAUGAGCUCGCGGCCUAUCAGCUAGUUGGUGAGGUAACGGCUCCCUAAGGCGACGACGGGUAGCCGGCCUGAGAGGGUGACCGGCCACACUGGGACUGAGACACGGCCCAGACUCCUACGGGAGGCAGCAGUGGGGAAUAUUGCACAAUGGGCGCAAGCCUGAUGCAGCAACGCCGCGUGAGGGACGACGGCCUUCGGGUUGUAAACCUCUUUUAGCAGGGAGGAAGCGAAAGUGACGGUACCUGCAGAAAAAGCACCGGCUAACUACGUGCCAGCAGCCGCCGUAAAAC
rnacentral:rRNA from 1 species